UUUGCAAUGGUAUAGCUUAAAAUGAUGGGCUUGCAGGGAAUUUUAUCAGAGAAGUGUAGCUUCUACUGACUGCAGAAUGGAUCUUUCUACAGGGACAUGUCUACACCAGAGAGAAUAAUGCAACAGCUAGCUAGUCAGUACCAUACCCAAAUCAACCCAGCCGCUCAGCGAAGUGAUAACUCUGGCAGCUCUACCCAGAACCCCAGGAUUGUGAAGCAGAAUUUUCCAAGUCUGGCAGGUUCCUAGCGCUGUGAGAAGCUCCACAAAGGCAAAGAAAAGGGCUCCGUGGCAAAGUCUGAGAACUGCUGCUUGCUGUAUCCCCACAAAGACGCAUAAUGCACGUUACAUAGUAAACACAAACAAAUAAAAAAACCCACUGAGA